GUCACUUCCAGACUGGCCACCAAAUCCUAAGCUGGAAUAGAUAGCUCUGGCUGGAUAUCAGGUGCCUUGUUAUGCUGAGCAAGGCUCAUGGCUGGGGAUGGGAACAAUGGCUUGGGCGGAAUUUCACAGAGACACAUGGAUCGUUGGCCUCUAGCUUGGAGCUAUGCCAGGCAUUCCUAUUUUUGGCUUCUGAGUUUGCAUAUAAGCCUGCCGCUUUGCCUCUAAAUUAGACACACGGCUCCCUCUCUUUGUUGGACAAGUAGCAUCAUCAGAGUGUGAGGAUGGGCAUCUAUGAAGAAAGAGGGGAACGGGUUGAACCGAAGAGGAAGCCCUUUAGCUGGAGAACCAAAUGUGCAGUGUCCAACCGAGGACGUCCCUUGGAACUUGUUUAUGCUAUUGGGGGGUUGAGCCCUAAGGGCAAUGUCAGUGGUGUGGAGUGUUACAACCCCCUGGAACAUGAGUGGAAGGUUCUGGGCUCCGUCUCAAGGCAUCGGACUGGAGUUGGAGUGGCUCCCCUCAAUGGCUCCAUCUACGCAGUAGGAGGCCAUGAUGGCAUGGUGUGCCUCAGCAGUGUUGAGAGGUAA
rnacentral:lncRNA from 1 species